rnacentral:rRNA from 1 species
ACACGUAGGGGCCUGACGUUGUUCGGAAUCAUUGGGCGUAAAGGGCGCGCAGGCGGCCGUCCAAGUCCGGUGUUAAAUGGUCGGGCUCAACCCGAUCAUGCGCUGGAAACUGGGCGGCUGGAGUCCCGGAGGGGAUGCCGGAAUUCCAGGUGUAGGGGUGAAAUCUGUAGAUAUCUGGAAGAACACCGAUGGCGAAGGCAGGCAUCUGGCCGGAGACUGACGCUGAGGCGCGAAGGCGCGGGGAGCGAACAGGUUUAGAUACCCUGGUAGUCCGCGCAGUAAACGAUGCGCACCAGGUGUCGGGCGGCAGCGCCCGGUACCGGAGCAAACGCGAUGAGUGCGCCGCCUGGGGAGUAUGCCCGCAAGGGUGAAACUCAAAUGAAUUGACGGG